rnacentral:rRNA from 1 species
CAGUAGCCGCGGGAAUACAGAGGGUGCGAGCGUUAAUCGGAUUUACUGGGCGUAAAGCGUGCGUAGGCGGCUUCUUAAGUCGGAUGUGAAAUCCCUGAGCUUAACUUAGUAAUUGCAUUCGAUACUGGGAAGCUAGAGUAUGGGAGAGGAUGGUAGAAUUCCAGGUGUAGCGGUGAAAUGCGUAGAGAUCUGGAGGAAUACCGAUGGCGAAGGCAGCCAUCUGGCCUAAUACUGACGCUGAGGUACGAAAGCAUGGGGAGCAAACAGGAUUAGAUACCCCUGUAGUCCCUGUCUCUUAUAA